AGCGAACGCUGGCGGCGUGCCUAACACAUGCAAGUCGAACGUGAAAAGGGGCAACCCUGAGUAAAGUGGCGUACGGGUGAGUAACGCGUAGGUAAUCUACCCCAAAGGCUGGAAUAACCUGUCGAAAGGCGGGCUAAUACUGAUAGAGCGACGGAAUCCGUAAUUGGGUUUUUCGGGAAAGGGAGGAAGCAAUUCCCUUCGCCUUGGGAUGAGCCUGCGUUUCAUUAGCUAGUUGGUGGGGUAAUGGCCCACCAAGGCAUUGAUGGGUAGCUGGUCUGAGAGGAUGAUCAGCCACACUGGAACUGAAACACGGUCCAGACUCCUACGGGAGGCAGCAGUGGGGAAUCUUGCGCAAUGGACGAAAGUCUGACGCAGCCACGCCGCGUGAGUGAAGAAGGCCUUCGGGUUGUAAAGCUCUGUCGAGCGGGACGAAAAACGGUGAGGUGAAUAGCCUCAUCGUCUGACGGUACCGCUAAAGGAAGCACCGGCUAACUCCGUGCCAGCCGCCGCUGUAACAC
rnacentral:rRNA from 1 species